ACCCAGGAGGCGGAGGAGGUGGAGGUUGCAGUGAGCCAAGAUCGUGGCACUGACUCCAGCCUGGGG
ensembl:miRNA